ensembl:lncRNA
GUGAGCGCACAUGCCACUCUACAUGUUAUGAGUUCAGUGGACAAUUUGCAGGAGUCAUUUCUGACAUUCUGCUACGUGGGUCUUGGGAAUCAAACCCAGGUCCUUAGACUUGACUGCAAGCUUCUUUAUCCAGCGAGUCCUCCAUCCAGGCCUUGCUCACACUCUCAAUGAUAGUGGCCAAUGUUUCCCAAGAGCUGCACAAAACUAACUCUUAAAAAUUUAAUUUCAUAUUCUUCUCACAUUUUCUGCCUUUGGAUUCCUGCUAGGUAAUGGGGAAUGAAGAAGAGAAGCCCAUGUGUGAAAUGCUUCCCAUAGGCUCAUAUGUUUAAAUACUUGGACUCCAGCUGGUGGUAUGUUUUGGAAGGUUUUAGAACUUUGAGUAGGUGAAGCCUCACUAAAGGAAGUGUGUCAUUGAUGAAAACCCUUGAGACAUUAUAGCCCUGCCCCUCUUCCUGUGUUCUUUGUUUUCAGACUGCAAACACAAAGGGGUCAGUUGCUUCAUUUUCCUGCCACCAUAAUGGGCAUUGCCCUCAAAAUGUAAGCUGAAAUAUGCCCCUUCCCCUUUAAGUUGCUUCUUGCCAGGUAUUUAGUCCCUGAACUCAGGAGUAACCGAAGCACCCACUCACCUGUCACAAAUGUAAUACACAUUCUUAGUACUCGCUUUGCAUUUACCUGACCUCCCACUGGAAUGAGAUGCUAAUGGGGGCAUGCCUAUGUUCUGUUAAAGGAUUGUUGAGCUGUUAAGUUGAGGUGCACACACACACACAGACACAUACACAGACAGACAGACAGACAGACACACACACACACACACACACACACACACACACACAUACACACACACACAGUGUAGUUCCUCUACUCAAUGCAGGCUCUAUUACGUUGUCAACUUGACUGAAUUAUCAAAUUGAGAGGUAGCUUGAUUAGUAGCAUAUACUCUGGGUGUUCGGUGAGAGCAGCUUAGAGAAGGUUAGCUGAGGAGGAGAACCUGACCCAGUAGGUAGGACAGAGGCCCAUCGGGAGGAGAGGGAGACGAGCCAGUAAGCGCAUGCACUCUCCUGACAACCACAAGGGGUGCAAUUUUGCCCUUCCAUGCCUUUCCUCCAUGGUGUACUUGCUGCCUUAGCACCAAGGUGCUGGCCAAGCUUGGGCUGAAACCUUUAGUUCUUUGAACCCAAAGUAAAUUAUUGCUCCCUUACAUUGUUUGCUCAGACAUUUCACCAUGGUAGUGAAAACCAACUCACACACAAAACGCAAGUUUAGAGAAAAAGGUAAAGCCAACAGGUGCAGAGGAUACAGUCAAGUGUGAGACCCUCUGGCCACAUGGGAGUCAGUCUCUCAUUUUUCAGUUCUUACUGAUGUGGGUCAGACAAAACAAAUUGAGUUUAAAUAAAGGGAAAUUAAAGGUGUGUGGAUUUGACCACUGGUCUGUUUUUCUGAACUCAGAAUUCACUCUCCUUACUGUUCAGUACAGUGAUAAAUCAGCCGUUCAGCCAUCUGUAGUCAUUGCUUAUUUAGUCACCUAAAAAUAUCUAUCAGUAGCUGGCGAGAUGGCUUAGGGUCUAAGGGCAGGGCCUGCUUUCUCAGAGCACCCAGGAACUUCCAGCACCCUAUGGUGGCUCAUAACCCUAACUCUAGUCCACUUCCACAGGAUGGAAGGCCCACUUCUAAUCUCUGCAUUCUGGCACCAGACACAGAUGAAAUGCAUGUACAUAUCUGUAGGCAAAAUACUCAUACAUAUAAAACAGUAAAUCUAAAACAUAAAAGACAAAAAUAAGUAUCAAUCUG